rnacentral:misc_RNA from 1 species
UUUCCGUAGGUGAACCUGCGGAAGGAUCAUUACUGAGUGAGGGCCCCUCGGGGUCCAACCUCCCACCCGUGUUUAACGAACCUUGUUGCUUCGGCGGGCCCGCCUCACGGCCGCCGGGGGGCAUCCGCCCCCGGGCCCGCGCCCGCCGAAGCCACCUGUGAACGCUGUCUGAAGUAUGCAGUCUGAGACAAUUAUUAAAUUAAUUAAAACUUUCAACAACGGAUCUCUUGGUUCCGGCAUCGAUGAAGAACGCAAC